ACUAAGGGAUAACACAGUUCCACAACCACCUUGGAACUUAAGAAGCCGACCGAUGGCGGGGUAACCAUCCAACUGCUGGCUUUGAAAUACACAGGCCGAAGACGGGCAGCAGCGUCUUCGGUGCGACAAAGCCACCCCUGCGGUCACCAACCCGCCUGCCCAGCGUGGUGACUAUGGGCAAAACACAUGAGUUCACGUUAU
rnacentral:misc_RNA from 1 species